rnacentral:rRNA from 1 species
AUGGCAGCUCUCCACCACCUCGUCCUCCCGCCUCGGCUCCUCUCCGGCCACGGACCCCCUCCCGUCCUCCGCUUCUCCAGGAGGCCGAGGCCCCUCCUCCACCUGCUCCCGCGCGCGGCCGCCGCAGCCACAAGGGCAUCGGCGGCAGCGGCGACGGCGGUGUCCGCGCCCUCGGACGCCGCGCUGCAGAACUUCCGUCGCUGGCUCUCUUCCCAGGGUGCAGACACGGGCUCGGUGGCUCCGGCGGUCGUGCCGGAGGGCCUCGGCCUCGUGGCGGCGCGGGACCUACCCCGCGGCGAGGUCGUCGCCGAGGUGCCCAAGAAGCUCUGGUUGGACGCGGACGCCGUCGCCGCCUCCGACCUCGGCCGCGUCUGCGGCAGCGCCGGGGACCUCCGCCCGUGGGUCUCCGUCUCGCUGCUCAUCCUCAGGGAGGCUGCGCGCGGAGGGGACUCGCUGUGGGCGCCCUACCUCGCCAUCCUCCCGCGCCAGACCGACUCCACCAUCUUCUGGUCAGAAGAAGAGCUCUUGGAGAUACAAGGAACACAAUUGCUGAGCACAACGACGGGUGUGAAAGAGUACGUGCAAAGCGAAUUCGAUAAUGUUGAAGCUGAGAUCAUAAACGCGAAUAAAGACCUUUUCCCUGGUACUAUAACAUUUGAUGAUUUUCUAUGGGCAUUCGGAGUACUAAGAUCAAGGGUUUUCCCUGAGCUCCGUGGAGAUAAGCUUGCCCUCAUACCAUUUGCUGAUCUGAUAAAUCACAAUGGUGAUAUUACCUCAAAAGAAUCCUGUUGGGAGAUCAAAGGAAAGGGCUUUUUAGGCAGGGAUACUGUGUUCUCUUUGCGAACGCCAAUGGAGGUUAAAUCUGGAGAACAGAUAUAUGUUCAGUAUGACCUGGACAAGAGUAAUGCUGAAUUGGCACUUGACUAUGGGUUCACUGAAGAAAACUCGUCAAGGGACUCGUAUACUCUGACGCUGGAGAUCUCUGAAUCUGAUCCCUUCUAUGAAGACAAACUUGACAUUGCAGAGCUAAACGGAAUGGGGGAGACCGCAUACUUCGAUGUCGUCCUCGGUGAAUCUCUUCCUUCUCAAAUGAUUACGUACCUACGAUUACUUUGUCUUGGGGGAACAGACGCAUUUCUCUUGGAAGCCCUCUUUAGAAAUAAAGUUUGGGAGCACCUUGAACUGCCUGUGAGCCGUGACAACGAGGAAUCAAUAUGCCAAGUCAUCCAGAAUGCCUGCAAAUCUGCUCUUGCUGCUUACCACACCACCAUAGAAGAGGAUGAAGAGCUAUUGGAGAGAGAAGAUCUGCAAUCAAGACAGCAAAUUGCCAUUGAAGUGAGAGUGGGUGAAAAGAAAGUACUGGAGCAAAUCAAUGAUAUUUUCAAGGAGAGGGAGCAAGAAUUAGAUGACCUUGAGUACUACCAGGAAAGGAGGCUCAAGGAUCUUGGUUUUAUUGGUGACAAUGGUGACAUUAUUUUCUGGGAGUCCUAG